rnacentral:lncRNA from 1 species
AACCCUGGUCCAGAGAGGCAGACGAAUGGCAGCCCUGCCCCGUGGGGGCUCCGGUUCUUCUCCUCCAUCCUCCUCCAGGCUCCGCCCACCUGCUCCGUCUGCCUCCCAGGGCCUCGUGAAUCCCAGGGAAGCCAUGAGCUGCCACAUCACGCCCGGAAGGAAGCGGGCUGCGUUGGAGGGGAAAAGACGCACCAGCAGCCUAGAAUUCGAGGCACUGCAGAGCCGGAAGGGGCCUCGGCGCUGCUCCCUCCGCCCCCUCAUUUCACAAACCGGAAACUGAGACCCAAAGCAAGGAAGGGACUUGGCCAAGUUGAAGAGAUGAAGGCGCAGAGGCAUGAACUCCCGUAGCCAGAGAGUGUGAGCUGGACUCUACCUGGAGCAGCCUCGGUGCAGAGCCCAUGCCCCCAACCAUGUCCGUGGUCGAGGCCCAGCCCAGACAGGGCACAAAGGGGCUGAGGAAGAGGAAGUAAGAUGCCAGGGUUGCCAUGCAGGAGGGCAACCCCAAGUGAGAUGGGCAUCGUGGCCUAGGGCCCACCUUCCGGAAGAGCUCAUCAGAACUUCGGACACACUGCAUGGGCCUAGACCCAGGGCUCGUUGAGCUCCUCCCUCGGAUUGGCUUCGAAUUUUAGCUUCCGGCCCCAGCAGUUCUCGGACCUGGGGUAGUUUCCUCCCCGCAAGUAACAAAGGAGGACAAGCCCCAGCUUCUCUAAGAUGCCUUCAGCUGCCUGGAAGAGGCCUGUGGAAGGCCCUGCAACUCUCCGCAGACCUCUGGGCAUUGCUGCUGCUUCUCAGUGCCCCUCGUCCCCUCAGCCAGACAGUUGGUGAUCCUCUACCCUCCCGGUGACUGGUGAGAACUACCCCCACAGAGAGCCAGCAGAGAGGAAGGCUCCCAGCUCCGGGCCCUGACUCAUCACACACACAAACACUCCCCAGCACUCUUUCCCAAAACAGUUCCCCUCCCACCCAUCCACCCUCCUACCGGGGCUGGGUGACAAAAAUGAACGCCCCAGAGAUCUUGCCAAGUUCUGGGCCACGCUCAGCCCAGGGAACACGCAAUUCCCCGUAGAAUGGGAGGAGCAGGCCCCGCCCCCUCUGGAAGCAAACAAUGUCCAUUGGAAGGAAACGACCACCUGACUCUACAAUGAUCACUGUACUGUUUUCCAAAUACCUUGGACCACUCUCCCCCAAGAAAGAGUUCAAAGCUCUAUAAUCAUAAAAUAUUAGAGCUUAAGGCAA